rfam:Camelus ferus unplaced genomic scaffold scaffold1381, whole genome shotgun sequence.
AGGGUUAGAGCUCAGUGGUAGAGCGCAUGCCUAGCAUGCACGAGGUCCUGGGUUCAAUCCUUAAUACCUCUA